GAACGAAGCACUUAUCUUUGAUUCUUCGGAUGAAGAGGUUUGUGACUGAGUGGCGGACGGGUGAGUAACGCGUGGGUAACCUGCCUCAUACAGGGGGAUAACAGUUAGAAAUGACUGCUAAUACCGCGUAAGACCACGGAGCCGCAUGGCUCGGUGGGAAAAACUCCGGUGGUAUGAGAUGGACCCGCGUCUGAUUAGGUAGUUGGUGGGGUAACGGCCUACCAAGCCAACGAUCAGUAGCCGACCUGAGAGGGUGACCGGCCACAUUGGGACUGAGACACGGCCCAAACUCCUACGGGAGGCAGCAGUGGGGAAUAUUGCACAAUGGGGGAAACCCUGAUGCAGCGACGCCGCGUGAGCGAAGAAGUAUUUCGGUAUGUAAAGCUCUAUCAGCAGGGAAGAAAAUGACGGUACCUGACUAAGAAGCACCGGCUAAAUACGUGCCAGCAGCCGCGGUAAUACGUAUGGUGCAAGCGUUAUCCGGAUUUACUGGGUGUAAAGGGAGCGUAGACGGCUGUGUAAGUCUGAAGUGAAAGCCCGGGGCUCAACCCCGGGACUGCUUUGGAAACUAUGCAGCUAGAGUGUCGGAGAGGUAAGUGGAAUUCCCAGUGUAGCGGUGAAAUGCGUAGAUAUUGGGA
rnacentral:rRNA from 1 species